CCUACGGGGGGCAGCAGUGGGGAAUAUUGGACAAUGGGCGCAAGCCUGAUCCAGCCAUGCCGCGUGAGUGAAGAAGGCCUUAGGGUUGUAAAACUCUUUCGGCAGGGAAGAUAAUGACGGUACCUGCAGAAGAAGCUCCGGCUAACUCCGUGCCAGCAGCCGCGGUAAUACGGAGGGGGCAAGCGUUGCUCGGAAUUACUGGGCGUAAAGCGAGCGUAGGCGGUUAAUCAAGUUGGUGGUGAAAGCCCAGAGCUUAACUCUGGAACUGCCAUCAAAACUGAUUGACUAGAGAUUGGUAGAGGAAAAUGGAAUUCCUAGUGUAGAGGUGAAAUUCGUAGAUAUUGGGAAGAACACCAGUGGCGAAGGCGAUUUUCUGGGCCAAUUCUGACGCUGAGGUUCGAAAGCGUGGGUAGCAAACAGGAUUAGAUACCCGAGUAGUC
rnacentral:rRNA from 1 species